rnacentral:rRNA from 1 species
GUUGUUGCAGUUAAAAAGCUCGUAGUUGAAUUUCGGGAUCAAUGUUUCGGUCAUGCCGUUGGUAUGUACUGAUAUUAUCGGUUUCUCACCUUCUAAAGAACCGUAAUGCCAUUAAUUUGGUGUCACGGGGAAUUAGGACUGUUACCUUGAAAAAAUUAGAGUGUUUAAAGCAGGCUCACGCUUGAAUACAUUAGCAUGGAAUAAUGAAAUAGGACAUCCGAUUCUAUUUUGUUGGUUUCUAGGAUCGAUGUAAUGAUUAAUAGGGAUAGUUGGGGGCAUUAGUAUUCAAUUGUCAGAGGUGAAAUUCUUGGAUUUAUUGAAGACUAACUACUGCGAAAGCAUUUGCCAAGGAUGUUUUCAUUAAUCAAGAACGAAAGUUAGGGGAUCGAAGACGAUCAGAUACCGUCGUAGUCUUAACCAUAAACUAUGCCGACUAGGGAUCGGAUGAUGUUAAUUUUUUAAUGACUCAUUCGGCGCCUUACGGGAAAC